rnacentral:rRNA from 1 species
GACGAACGCUGGCGGCGUGCUUAACACAUGCAAGUCGAACGGUAAGGCCCUUCGGGGUACACGAGUGGCGAAUGGGUGAGUAACACGUGGGUGAUCUGCCCUGCACUUCGGGAUAAGCCUGGGAAACUGGGUCUAAUACCGGAUAGGACCCUGGGAUGCAUGUCCUGGGGUGGAAAGCUUUUGCGGUGUGGGAUGGGCCCGCGGCCUAUCAGCUUGUUGGUGGGGUGAUGGCCUACCAAGGCGACGACGGGUAGCCGGCCUGAGAGGGUAACCGGCCACACUGGGACUGGGAUACGGCCCAGACUCCUACGGGAGGCAGCAGUGGGGAAUAUUGCACAAUGGGCGCAAGCCUGAUGCAGCGACGCCGCGUGAGGGAUGACGGCCUUCGGGUUGUAAACCUCUUUCAGCACCGACGAAGCGCAAGUGACGGUAGGUGCAGAAGAAGGACCGGCCAACUACGUGCCAGCCGCCGCCGUAA